rnacentral:tRNA from 1 species
CAGAUAAUAGUUUAUUAUACAAAACAUGAAUUUUGGAGAUUCAAAAAUAAAAUCUGAUUUUUAUUGCCUCU